CGGGGUGUAGCUAAAUAGAAGAGCAUCUCCCUUACUCUGAGAAGACACCAGUGCAAAUCAGGUCGCCCCGA
rnacentral:tRNA from 1 species